UUCACUAGUUACUGUAAGUCACUGUGGAUAAGAGUGUCUGCUAAAUGACUAAAA
rfam:Salmo salar isolate Sally breed double haploid chromosome ssa13, whole genome shotgun sequence.